UUGAUCCUGCGGGAGAUUGCUGCUAGUAGGAUUCGAUUUAGCCAUGCAAGUGAAUGGGAUUUAGUUCCAUCGCGAAUCGCUCAGUAACACGUCGAUAAUCUGCCCUUAUGCCGGAACUAAGCUCGGGAAACUGAGUAUAAUGCCGAAUGGGUGAUAAGAUCUGGAAUGUCUUAUCACUUAAAGUUUUAACGUACAAGGAUGAGUUGGCGGCUGAUUAGGUAGUUGGCGGGGUAAUGGCCCACCAAGCCGACGAUCAGUAGGGGCCUUGAGAGAGGGAGCCCCGAGAGGGUCACUGAGAAACUGGUCCCAGCCCUACGGGGUGCAGCAGGCGCGAAACCUCUUCAAUGCACGACAGUGUGAAAGGGGGAUCCUACGUGCUCAUGUUAUGCAUGGGCUUUUGUAAAGCGUAAAUAACUCUACGAAUAAGGGGUGGGAAAGACCGGUGCCAGCAGCCGCGGUAACACCGGCGCCCCAAGUGGCAAUCGCAAUUACUGGGCCUAAAGCAUCCGUAGCCUGGUUUGUAAGUCUUCUGUGAAAUCUCUCAGCUCAACUGAGAGGCGGGCAGAGGAGACUACAUACCUAGAAACCGGGAGGAGUCGAAGGUAUUCUGUGGGGAGCGGUAAAAUGUUAUAAUCCUCGGAAGACCACCAAUGGCGAAGGCAUCUAACUAGAACGGAUCUGACGGUGAGGGAUGAAGGCUAGGGGAGCAAAACGGAUUAGAUACCCGAGUAGUCCUAGCUGUAAACUCUGCGUGCAAGGUGUUGCAUUUCUACUGGAAUAUGCAGUGUCGUAACGAAGGUGUUAAGCUCGCCGCCUGGGAAGUAUGGUCGCAAGACUGAAACUUAAAGGAUUUGGCGGGGGAGCACCACAAGGGGUGCGGCGUGCGGUUUAAUCUAACUCAACGCAGAGAAUCUCACCAGGGGCGACGGCAGGAUGAAGGUCAGUUUGAAGAGCUUACCCGACGAGCCGAGAGGUGGUGCAUGGCCGCCGUCAGCUCGUGCCGUGAGGUGUCCUGUUAAGUCAGGUAACGAGCGAGACCUGUAUCUACAAUUGCCAGCGACUUCUUCGGAUAGAUCGGGAACAUUGUGGGAACUGCCUUGGAAACAAGGAGGAAGGUGUAGGCUACGGUAGGUCUGUAUGCCCCGAAUCUCCUGGGCUACACGCGCGCAACAAUGGUAUGGACAAUGGGCUACUACUCCGAAAGGAGGCGUUAAUCCUCGAAACCAUACCCAAGUACAGAUUGUGGAUUGUAACUCAUCCACAUGACGCUGGAAUCCCUAGUAAUCGGAAGUCAUCAUCUUUCGGUGAAUACGUCCCCG
rnacentral:rRNA from 1 species